CAUAGUGCUCAGUCUUCAGGUGUCCUCGGACUCGAUAGGGAAUCCCGUGAAAAUCGGGAGCGGACCCGCCGCCGUGACGUCCUGCCGAACCGUCUCCAUUCACGCCACUGGGCCUCGCCUGGGAAGGCGGAGACGGGAGGGACCAGCCGGAAGACCUGCCUGAAGCGAUCACAAGGA
rnacentral:ncRNA from 2 species